rnacentral:lncRNA from 10 species
GGGGUUUCACUGUGUUAGCCAGGAUGGUCUCGAUCUCCUGAACUCGUGAUCUGCCCACCUUGGCUUCCCAAAGUGCUGGGAUUACAGGCAUGAGCCACUGCGCUCAGUCCUACAAAAGAUUUUUUUUUAAUAGCCAGGUAUGGUGGUGUACACCUGUGGUCCCCUCUACUUGGGAGGAUGAGGAUCACUUGUGCCCAGGAGGUCAAGGCUAUAUUGAGCCAUGAUCACACCACUGCACUCUAGCCUAGGAGGCAGAAUGAGACCCUGUCUCAAAAAAAAUCCUUCCCGUGCGUUAACUCAUCUAAUCCUCAUGCCAAUCAGGAAAUAAGGUACCACUGCACCAUUUUCAUUGCCUCUUUGCAGAUGGUGAAAUGAGGCAUGGAGAAGUUAAGUCACUUUUCCAAGGGCCUUGGCCUUUGGCCAAGGACAGCUUCUGAGUAACUGGGGACCUGACCCUUCCAAAGGAAACUGGACUUGACCCCAAGAUUACUGGAUAAAUCUACCUGCUUCAGGUAUUUGUGGCUUACAACAUCAGGAAAGGAAUGACUCAUCUGGAACUUUGGCUAUUAAAAAAUUUAUUUUGGCCUGGGCACAGUGGCUCAGGCUUGUAAUCCCAGCACUUUGGGAGGCCGAGGCAGGUGGAUCACCUGAGGUUAAGAGUUUAAGACCAUGAGCCAAGAUUGUGCCACUGCACUCCAGCCUGGGUGACAGAG